GCCUUUGUGGAUCAGUGGUUGAUCACCUUGAAUGUUUAGCGUCGCGUAUUCCUAUAUCGAGGAAACGUGGGUUCGACUCCCACCUGAGGCA